GGCUUUCCUCCUCCGAUGAGGGCAUCACUGCCAGAAACCAUCUGGAAGAGCGAGAUUAACGGAUAAUGAGUGACAAUCACCGGGAGCUGGACGGCUGAAGCGCCUCGUUAAUCCCCCGUCCUCUGACGUAUAUCCUACCGAUACUCUCGGCGAACUGAACUUGAAAUCGUAAUGUCUACAACGACGACGGAGAGAUAGCUAGGUUGCCUCUCGGUGUACAACGGUGUUCUGUAUUAAUGAAGAUAAGAUAAAAUGAGCGAAUUCUACGAGAUAGAGGUGGAGGAACACCGAGUCAAUAUUGACGUUUGAAAGACAAAGCCGGAAGUCGAACAGAGGGCAAAAUGGGAAGCUGCGGUCAGGUUUGCGGGGAUAAGCUGAUUUUCUUCGAUGCACAGAUGAGACACGGAUGAGCACGGUUCUAUAUACGACGUGCGUCAUCCACUGACUUUCGCAGCUGCUUUUUAUGGUUUUAUUUGCUCUCGCGACGCUUCGUUUGACUGACGCUCCAUCGAUAUAACGUUAAACGCUGCUUUGCGUCGCGACGGAGCGUAAAGAUUUCCUCCGGAGAAUUAUACUUGAUAAUCGUAUAAUUGUAUCUCAUUUGAUCGGGCAUUGAUUAGAGAUCCUCGUGAGCGCUGAACGCAGAUGUGUCUCAAUAGCACUUGCGUUGUGCAUCGCAUCGUUGUAAGGUCUUAUCGUAUGGCGCACGUGCACCGGGAAGAUAUGCGUCACGUCUCUGUCUAUAAGCGUGGUUCACUGACCAAGGUUCAUUGUGCACGAUAUUCGUCAUAGUGACAAAGUGAAAUAUUCAAACAUUCGCGAUUUUAUUUCGUAUCCCGUGGCACCCGCGCGGCCCGACGAUAAACGAGCACUUGCAUAUUUAAGGCCGCGCAGGAGAGCACGCGUUUACAUUUGCAUAUCGCGGCGGUAAUCGGAAUGCGAGCUAAUGCACGAGAAAGAUUACGCCUGUAUAAAACGCUUCAUAGGAAGAUUUCACGUAUUUUCGUAAUCAAUUUUAUGCAAUGUGUGUUUUUUUUUUUUACAGGUGGUUUAUGCAAAAUUGUUCCUGACCUGGCACGAUCCCCCUUCUAUUCGCGCGGCGAAUCUGCAGCUUUAAGAUCUACCGUUGACCUUACAUAGGCCGUCGCACAAAGCAACUGGAGCAGCUUUCGCGUGCAUUUACUUUCGUGGCUGUAAUUCAGCGCUUUGUGAACUCGCAUUGAAACACGCGGAGGUCGUGGUGCGUCCCACCAAGGCUGACUAAUACCCGGAAUUGAAUGUAAGACUCUCGCCCGCAACGGGCGUAGGUUCUCUCUUUCGCGUGUCCUUACAUACUAAUUUAUCGAUCUGCAUUGAACGCUGCACGGCUUUCAGUAUGUAUAAAGUUUGAUGCAAAUUACGAAAUAUAUGUAGAAGUGGAGGGGAAAUUUAUGUGAAAUAACAGAGAGCUUCUGCAUAUAUUAGAGAAUUUAAUAUGAUAAAGAGCAAAAUUGCGAUGAAAAAUAAUGCGUGUUAUAGGAAGUUGCAUCGUUUAACGCUUUGCUUGACCACGAAACGACGAAUAUGCUCGCCCUUAUCAGCUUUAUCUCGUGAAAAGGUGCAGAAUUACGUCAACGGUCCUCAGCUGUGUGAAGAACAAAAAGGCACGCUACUACGUCAACGAUCACAAAAAAAA